UGAUAGGUCAGGUGAAUGUGGUCCUUUCAUCCCCCAUGGGCGCCUAACUAUUAGCGUCCUCACACUAUCGAUCUGCUCUUGCGCCGUCAUCUUUCUACCCCUGCCGAAGUGGUACAUCCCUGGCGUUUUACCAGCGUUGGGCCGUCCUCCCCGUACAGUGGUUGCCUAGCCAGGGGCGAUUGUAUUGUUUGUCUGCUGUACACUUGUACUAUCGUAGCCGACUGAAGUCCAGUAUCGAGCUACCGCAAGGGUACUUCAUUAACCGUGGUAUAGAGACUAUCGGCCAUUCAACGAUUACAUUCCUAUCUCAGAUUAUAUAUUAAAUAUGACUGAAUAAUGAUGUUAGUGAUGUAAUCAAGAAAGCCUCAUAUCCCUCGUGGCCGAAUUUUGCGGCAGGAGGACAUUAAAACACGAGAAUAUUUA